rnacentral:rRNA from 1 species
AUUGAACGCUGGCGGCAUGCCUUACACAUGCAAGUCGAACGGCAGCACGGGAGCAAUCCUGGUGGCGAGUGGCGAACGGGUGAGUAAAGUAUCGGAACGUGCCCAGUCGUGGGGGAUAACGUAGCGAAAGUUACGCUAAUACCGCAUACGAUCUUUGGACGAAAGCGGGGGCUCGCAAGACCGCGCGCGGUUGGAGCGGCCGAUAUCAGAUUAGGUGGUUGGGGGGGUAAAGGCUCACCAAGCCGACGAUCUGUAGGUGGUCGAGAAGGACGACCAGCCACACUGGGACUGAGACACGGCCCAGAAUCCUACGGGAGGCAGCAGUGGGGAAUUUUGGACAAUGGGCGAAAGCCUGAUCCAGCCAUGCCGCGUGCAGGAUGAAGGCCUUCGGGUUGUAAACUGCUUUUGUACGGAACGAAAAGGUUUGGCCUAAUAAGCUGAGUUCAUGACGGUACCGUAAGAAUAAGCACCGGCUAACUACGUGCCAGCCGCCGCCGUAA